GUAACCACCUCUGCACCACUACAUUAAUAACUGAAAUGUCAGUAGUUAGUUAGAAGGGGAGAUAGAUGAAGUUAGGAGAUAAGAUUGAAGUGAAAGAAGACUUUACUUUACAAUCAACAGACGUCGUCUAAUUUUGAUUUCUUACUUGACCACCUAGUCCUAAUUACCACUUCACAGUUUAUAGAUUUAUAUAGAGAGGGAGAAAAGCAUCCUUGAGGUGAAUCAAUUUUACAAUAGCUCUGUUACUUUCUUGAGAAAGAUAAGCUACCGCCUGAAAUCAAUAAAAAAUUCAAAGAAUAACAAAAAUUAGAGGAAGAACAAAGGGUUUGCCCUCAAAGGUCCUAUAAGCCCAAGAGUCGAGGAAAUUUUUUAAAACAACAAUAUUUUAGCCACUCCUUAGCAAUAAUUUAACUAUUUAUUAAAAAUGACAAUAUUUUAGUUUGUUAAAAGAUGAGUCAUGCAUUUAUUUUAUUCUGA
rnacentral:misc_RNA from 1 species